UAGCAGCAUUCCACCCCUCAGGCCCUCACAAUGGAUACUUAAUGCUUCAAUUAUUCCCAGCGCCUGCAGCUUUUUUCAAUUUGAACAAAACUGAAGAACACCCAAAGCCCAUCAAAGAACAAAAGAUUGAACAGUUGAGGAUAGAUUUAACACCAGUAAAUGCAAGAAAGGUGGCUGUAAAAAAGUUUGAUUACUUCAAAAUUGCAGGGCUGGUCUGCUGCCCUUUGUUACCUAUUCAAUUGACUGAUUGAGACCUCACCAAAAUAUCUGGCUGCUGAAAGCCAGAGAGACUAAAAGAGCAGUUGCAAGACAGACUUUCUGAGUACUAAAGACCCAAAAAUAGUCAAAUCUCCAAAGGCAAUGUAAAUAUAAAAAAUGUUGGAAUGAAAUUGGUGGGGUGUGCCAGGCCAAGGCAAUAGUGUAAUACCAAGGCGACACUCAAAAACCCAAGUAGCAAGCUACCUUGAUGGGUCUUUCCCCUAGAAAAAUUAAGUUAAUAUCGUGUGAGCCAAUGGCUCACGUAUCAGAUAUUAAACUGAUAAGAACAGAUACUACACUUGAUCUUAGCCAAAAGGCCGAGAAAGAGUUCAAGAGGUGACAAAGGCAACUUGUUCAUCCUGAAAUUGGCAGAUACCUCUUAUUGAACUCCUAUCUAAAAUCUUGAAGGGAAUAAAUAUUUUCUCCUGUCGCAUAUCUGGUUGAAGCUUAUAUUAACUCGCGAUGGAUUUAACACCAGUAAAUGCAAGAAAGGUGGCUGUGAAGUUUGAUUACUUAAGGCUGAAACAAUGCAGAUAUCGUAAAAUGUUGGAAUAAUAUUGGUGGGGUGUGCCAGGCCAAGGUAAUAGUACAAUACCAAGGCGACACUCAAAGGCCCAGGCAGCAAGCUACCUAAAUGGGCCUUUCCCCUAAAAAUAUUGAGUUAAUAUCGUGUGAGCCAAUGGCUCACGUAUCAGAUAUUAAACUGAUAAGAACAGAUACUACACUUGAUCUUAGCCAAAAGGCCGAGAAAGGUAUGCUUUUUUCAAUUGACAGCCCACUUCUUUUAUAUUGCUCAUACACAACCACAUGCUUUCUACAUUCAAUGUGGGACUUCAGCAAACAGCAGGACAUUGUUAAUUUGUAGUGCUGGUAAUAUAUUCUAAUAAGUUAAGAAACUUAUGCAGAAAUUAGUCAAGUAAAGUCUUCGAAGCGACGCACCAAAGUCUUGAAGAUAACCAUAAGACUAAUAUGCAGUCUAAUUCUCACAAAGAUGCAAUUUGCUUGCUUUCGCUAUAUCCAGAAUUAUUUCCUUGUUCUACAUGGGGAAUACAUAUUUUCUCCCUCUGCAUAUCUGGUUGUACCAAUAUUGACUCUUUAAUUCUCUUAUUUGCAGGCGACGGCAGAUUUAAACACCAGUAAAAUGCAAAAAGUGGUGGCUGUAGAUUUUGAUUACCUCAAAAUUGCACGGCAGGUUUGCACAGUGUGUAUAUGUAUAAAGAGAAUAUAAUCAAUUUAUUUUUAUGCUUUUUAGUGAUAUAUUGUAGAUAUACGAAAAAUAAGCACAUAUGAUUUACGUAUUCAUAUUAAUUUGCAGAAAAAAAAAAAAAUUUUUUUAAUCCCUCCACCGGGAAUGGAAAUGUUUGAAAUCAAUUAUGGGUAAUGCUAUUAUAACUUGCUUCUGAAUCUAUGUUAUUCCUCUAUUACUAUUAGAGGUGACCAAAGUCCGAACUUUAGCCGGUCCAGAGCCUAGGCUAGCACAAACUGGGACCAGUCCUGAAUUACUUGGGCCAGUCAGGUGCCCGGGCCCAGGCCUCUUGUGGGUCAAGCCGUGCUAGGCCCAGUGAAGCCCGAACCCAAUUUUUCCUGGCCAAUUCAGAGCUAGUUCGGUCCUAAACCGGCUUGUGGCCACCUCUAAUUACUAUUCAAUAAGGUUUUUUUUCCAUUGAUUUAUGGCAGUGGUUAAAUACUCAUUUUGGGUUAUAGAUACCAAUAAAAGCUCGCAGUUCGCCGGAUAUUACGUACUUGGAUGAAGAGCUGAGGGAAUUACCUGUUAAUGAUAUCCUAGAUAAAACACAUAUAACAGUUUUUGAGGAGCAUGGUUUAUGAAGAAAAACAUCCACAACAUUCAUUCAUCUCAUGUAUGUUGUGUUGUCAAGAGGUGACAUUGUUCACCCUGAAAUUGGCAGAUACCUCUCAUUGAGCUCCUCUAAAAUCUUGAAAGGUACUCUUUACAUUUUUUUUUUCGCAGAAUUUUCUUUCUUAAUAGAGCAUACUAUAGUUGUUUUUCUAAAUUUAUUACUUACACAAACAAUGAAAUAUUAUAAAAUGUUGGAAUGAAAUUGGUGGGGUGUGCCAGGCCAAGGCAAUAGUGCAGUACCAUGGCGACACUCGAAGACCCAGGUAGCAAGCUACCUUGAUGGGACUUUCCCCUAGAAAAAUUGAGUUAAUAUCAUGUGAGCUAAUAGCUCACGUAUCAGAUAUUAAACUGAUAAGAACAGAUACUACACUUGAUCUUAGCCAAAAGGCCGAGAAAGGUAUGCUUUUCUUUGUUGACAGCCCCCUUCUUUUAUGUUGCUCAUGCACAUUCACAUGCUUUCUACAUUGUCAAUGUGGGACACUGAAACUUGAGCAAACGGUGAGACAAUACUAGUUUCUAGUGCUUAUUAGUCUGUAUGUUCUAAUGACCACAUGAUAGACAGUACUGGUUUGCAGAAAAGGAGUCAAUAAUGGGCAACGAGAUUUUCGUUUCGUCUUCUUAUUUCUUGCAGUGAUUAUGGAGACCAAAGAACAUUCCCUCAAAAAAACGAAAAGAGUAUCAAGAGAUGACUUGUUCAGUUGUUCACCCCUGAAAUUGGCAGAUACCUCUUAGUGAGCUCCUAUCUAAAAUCUUGAAAGGUAUACUUUUAUGUUUUUCUUUUGGGUAUGCUUCCUUUUAUUCAUUCAUAAAUUUAUGGUGUUAACCAACUUGGUUGGCAUUAGUGGCCGUACACUCUCAUCCCUUAAAAGAGGUCGGGAGUUCAAAACCUCCCCUUGUAUUGAAAAACCAAUAUAAGCCAACACUUUGCCCCUUAGUUGGGUCAACCUGGUGCAAACGGGGAAUAGUCUGAGUAUGGUAAGGGUUUAAAGGUGUCUCCUAUAGUUAGGAUUACUCAGGACACCUCGACACCACGUGGUCUAAUCCCCCAAAAGAAUUAUGGUGUUUGACCUUUUUGCUUGGUAUUGAUGUCAAGUGGUGUUUCUGGAGCACACAACCUAUUUUGUUCUUAUUAAUCAAUCAUCGCAAGAAGGAUUUGCUCUUAAAUUCUUUCAAGAUAGCCAGUAGUGAUUUGCUUUGCUCUUAAAUUCUUUCAAGAUAGCCAGUAGUGUGGUAUGUAAAGACUGUCAUUUUUGUCCCUUCGCUUGCUUGAAGAGUGCAGAUCGUUCAUCAUUUUAAUAAGCACCAUAACCAUCAAGUACUAGAAUCAGACAGACUAUAAGAGCAGUUGCAUGACAGACUUCAAGUAAUUAGGACCAAAAAUAACCAAUCUUACAAAAACAAUACAAAUAUUAUAAAAUGUUGGAAUGAAAUUGGUGGGGUGUGCCCGGCCAAGGCAAUGGUGCAAUACCAAGGCGACACUCAAAGACCCAAGUAGCAAGCUACCUGAUGGGCCAUUCCCCUAGAAAAAUUGAGUUAAUAUCAUGCGAACCAAUGGCUCAUGUAUCAGAUAUUAAACUGAUAAGAACAGAUACUACACUUGAUCUUAGCCAAAAGGCCGAGAAAGGUAUGUCUUACUUUUAGACAGUCCCCUUUUUUUAUGCUGCUCAUGCACCUUUACAUGCUUUCUACAUUUUCAAUGUGGGAAUUCAGCAAACAGUGGGAUAAUACUAUUUUGUAGUUAAGAAACUUAUGAAAAAUUGGUUAAGCAAAGUCUUGGAAGCAAUAAUCAUAAGACUAAUUUGUAGUCUAAUUCUCACGACAAUACAAUUUGUUUGCAUUUGCUAUAUCCAGAACUAUUUCCUUGUGCACGUGGGAACAAAUACUUUCUUCUUCUCCCAAAAGGUUGAAUAAUACCCAACCCCAAGGGCCCCACACCCCGGCCGGACAGAGCAUGUGAGAGGAUAAUGUAAAUCAAGGUGACAGCAGAUUUAACACCUUCGAAUGCAGAUGCCUCUUAUUGAGCUCCUCGCUAAAUUCUUGAAAGAUUGCAUCAAGAAAGUUACAAUGGACUUGCUGGUUGCAACUUCCAGCCAUGACUAAUAGGUUUCUACUACCAAUCACAACUAACAGGUAGCUACUGACUGUAACAAUUAGCAUGUUUUCAUCUGUGUUUUGGAACAUGACAUAUUGAAAAUUGUUUUGUCUUCUUUAUGUAUUGAUGAAAAGAAUGUAACAGCUAUGAAUAUUAUCGUCAUUUAAUCUCUUAACUAUUGUUAUG